rnacentral:rRNA from 1 species
UACGUAGGUGGCAAGCGUUGUCCGGAAUUAUUGGGCGUAAAGCGCGCGCAGGUGGUUUCUUAAGUCUGAUGUGAAAGCCCACGGCUCAACCGUGGAGGGUCAUUGGAAACUGGGGAACUUGAGUGCAGGAGAGAAGAGUGGAAUUCCACGUGUAGCGGUGAAAUGCGUAGAGAUGUGGAGGAACACCAGUGGCGAAGGCGACUUCUUGGCCUGUAACUGACGCUGAGGCGCGAAAGCGUGGGGAGCAAACAGGG